ensembl:miRNA
CUCCCUGGGAGGGCACAGAUGAUGGUGGGAGAGGAGCCCCACUGUGGAAGUCUGACCCUCACAUCGCCCCACUUUCCCUAG